CUGGCCAAGGCAAGAACAAAAGGGAAAAAGCAUAGAACAAACCCUAGAGAAAAAAAUCAAGAGAAAAUUCAUUGGAUUUCAAGGAAUUAAGCAAGUAAAGGUAAAAUUUCUUAAUUCUAGCUUGUGAUCUACCUUUCCUAUGCAUUCUUUUAAAAUUACCAUGGUUAAAAUUCAAGAUCUCAUGAAGGAUUCAUGGCUGAUUGAAUUUUGGGAGAGAAGAUUUGAUGAUUUAUAUGGUUAGAUUUCAAGGUAUCUUAGUGUUUUUAGUUGUUUGGUGAUGUUUAGCAUGAAAAACAAGCAAGAAAUUUCAUGCCCUUCACCCACACUCCUUGGCUGAAAUUUUCAAGAGAGAAAUUGGAUAAUGGACUUUGAUGAAUUUCAUGCUAUUUAGGUGUUUUUAGUUGUUUUAUGAUGUAAGGUGUAAAAAUCAAGCAUGAAAAUUACAUGUUCUACACUAAACCUUCAAUGGUCGAAUUUUACAAGGAAGAUAUUGAUGAUGGAUUUUUGUGAUAUUACAUAUUAUUUAACUUGUAAUUGAUGACUUGGAGUGUUGGAAGUGGAAUCAAGUUAAUUGGAGUUGAAUUGGAUGUAUUGGCCAAUUAACUGGUGUAUAGAUCGAAUUAGGCCAAUACCAUUUUAUUUCUAUACAUAAUUGAAGCUACGUAGAACAACAUAUUCAGAUAAUAAUCUGAACAUUUUGCAUCCCAUUUCAUGCAUUCAUAUAGAGCCUAAAUUAGUCUUAUAACGGUUUAGUACAAAUAUAGUAAAUUGCUUAUUGUGCAUUAUGUUUAGGUGGUGAAACUUCCGAUAAGGGUAACGAGAUUGUACUCGAAGAUCGGGACUAAGAGUACUUCAACUCCCGAUAUUGUGAGUAACCUUAUUAUCGUCUUAGUUAUCUAAAAUAGUUUUUAUUCGUUUUUGUGAUUUUAUAGAAAAAUGAGUUUAAAUGGUAAAUCCUUAUGUUUUAUAAGUAAAAUGUGAUUAAAUGAAAUGAAUUUUAUAAAUCAUUUUGAAAUUGAAUGAUGAUUUUAGAAAUUGAGUAGUUAGAGACUGUUUGAUUGUGUUGUAAAUUUAUGGUUUGAAUUGAAUGGCUUAUGGUGAUAUUGGCAUGAAUGGAUAAAUUGGAAAUUGUGUUGAAAAUGUAUGAAUUGUUUGUUUUGCCUUAACAGGAUGGGUAGUAAUAUAAUUGCCAUGUCAUGCUGUUGAAACUUUUAUUGAUUUGGUGGAAUAUUGAUUAGUCACUCUAGUGGCGGGUUUUCGUGGACCAGCCUAUUAGAGAGGGGCAUGGUAAACUCGAUUAUAUUUUACCUCGGUACGAGAGGCGCGGAGGGUAUCUCCUGAGAAAAAGCUUUAGAGUUUACUACACGCUAAACCACCACGUGAGGGUGAACUCAGCCAACACCAAGG
rnacentral:lncRNA from 1 species